CCUUCAAUAGCUCAGUUGGUAAAGGGGAGGACUGUAAGUUUAUAACUGCAGGCAUCCUUAGAUCGCUGGUUCCAUUCUGGCUCGAAGGA
rnacentral:tRNA from 1 species